AGAGUUUGAUCCUGGCUCAGGACGAACUUUGGCGGCGUGCCUAAUACAUGCAAGUCGAGCGAGCUUGCCUAGAUGAUUUUAGUGCUUGCACUAAAUGAAACUAGAUACAAGCGAGCGGCGGACGGGUGAGUAACACGUGGGUAACCUGCCCAAGAGACUGGGAUAACACCUGGAAACAGAUGCUAAUACCGGAUAACAACACUAGACGCAUGUCUAGAGUUUGAAAGAUGGUUCUGCUAUCACUCUUGGAUGGACCUGCGGUGCAUUAGCUAGUUGGUAAGGUAACGGCUUACCAAGGCAAUGAUGCAUAGCCGAGUUGAGAGACUGAUCGGCCACAUUGGGACUGAGACACGGCCCAAACUCCUACGGGAGGCAGCAGUAGGGAAUCUUCCACAAUGGACGAAAGUCUGAUGGAGCAACGCCGCGUGAGUGAAGAAGGGUUUCGGCUCGUAAAGCUCUGUUGGUAGUGAAGAAAGAUAGAGGUAGUAACUGGCCUUUAUUUGACGGUAAUUACUUAGAAAGUCACGGCUAACUACGUGCCAGCAGCCGCGGUAAUACGUAGGUGGCAAGCGUUGUCCGGAUUUAUUGGGCGUAAAGCGAGUGCAGGCGGUUCAAUAAGUCUGAUGUGAAAGCCUUCGGCUUAACCGAAGAAGUGCAUCGGAAACCGGGCGACUUGAGUGCAGAAGAGGACAGUGGAACUCCAUGUGUAGCGGUGGAAUGCGUAGAUAUAUGGAAGAACACCAGUGGCGAAGGCGGCUGUCUGGUCUGCAACUGACGCUGAGGCUCGAAAGCAUGGGUAGCGAACAGGAUUAGAUACCCUGGUAGUCCAUGCCGUAAACGAUGAGUGCUAGGUGUUGGAGGGUUUCCGCCCUUCAGUGCCGGAGCUAACGCAUUAAGCACUCCGCCUGGGGAGUACGACCGCAAGGUUGAAACUCAAAGGAAUUGACGGGGGCCCGCACAAGCGGAGGAACAUGUGGUUUAAUUCGAUGAUACGCGAGGAACCUUACCCGGGCUCAAACGCCGAAGGGAUAUUCCCCGAAAGGGGAUUGGCCAGCAAUGGUCUUCGGCGAGGUGCUGCAUGGUUGUCGUCAGCUCGUGCCGUGAGGUGUCGGCUUAAGUGCCAUAACGAGCGCAACCCCCACCGACAGUUGCUAACUGGUCAAGCAGAGGACUCUGUCGGGACUGCCGGCGCAAGCUGCGAGGAAGGCGGGGAUGACGUCAAAUCAGCACGGCCCUUACGUCCGGGGCGACACACGUGUUACAAUGGCAGGUACAGCGGGAUGCCAUGGGGCGACCCAGAGCGGAACCCGAAAACCUGUCUCAGUUCGGAUUGGAGUCUGCAACCACGACUCCAUGAAGCUGGAUUCGCUAGUAAUCGCGCAUCAGCCACGGCGCGGUGAAUACGUUCCCGGGCCUUGCAAAGACCGCCCGUCA
rnacentral:rRNA from 1 species